UACGUAGGGGGCAAGCGUUGUCCGGAAUUACUGGGCGUAAAGAGCUCGUAGGUGGUUUGUCGCGUUGUUCGUGAAAACUCACAGCUUAACUGUGGGCGUGCGGGCGAUACGGGCAGACUGGAGUACUGCAGGGGAGACUGGAAUUCCUGGUGUAGCGGUGGAAUGCGCAGAUAUCAGGAGGAACACCCGUGGCGAAGGCGGGUCUCUGGGAAGGAACUGACGCUGAGGAGCGAAAGCGUGGGGAGCGAACAGG
rnacentral:rRNA from 1 species